AGUCAACGCACCUACCCCUCUCGUCCCACAUUCUGUUCCUGCCCGAUCCCCUCCUUCCCACCUUCUUCCUCCUGCACAACCUCCUCCCACCUCCCCUCCACCUUCCACUGCCGGGGACGCCAGGGGGUCGUGCCUCCGAUGCCAGAGCCUUGCCGCCGCCCGCAAUCUCUUCUGCCCUGCCAACCCCCGCCCCGGAGCGACACGCGCGUGGCUCCCUCGUGCCUGGCGACCUUCCCUCGCCAGCGCCGCCCUCACCCAUUCCACUUUCUUUCCCCGCCGGCGCCGCCCUCCCCAAAUCCACCUUCUUCCCUCGCCGGUGCCGCCCUCCCACGAUCCAUCUUCUUCCCCUUCCCAGGUAUCACCGAACUUCCCCUCGCCUCGAUCUGCAGCGACACGGACGACCGGCAGUAGGGCACGCCGCCCUCCCCCAAUCCACCAGCAGUCCCACCCCAUCUCCAUCUCCACCGGCAGCCGCACCCCAUCCCCACCGGAUCGAGCCCUCUUAUGCAGUUCAUGUCGCCAUGGAUCGAGAUCGAGUCCUGCUCCAACUGCGGCUGUCUGGUCGUGCGGUGGUUGGGACUGCCGGUGACGAACACCUAGAUCCACCACUGCCUAGCCCCCUCCAAGCUCCCUCCUCCCCUACAUCACAAGAGGGGCGCGACGUUCCCUCUACAUCCUGUGGGAUACUCCUAUUCUCUGCUCGCCAUGGGAGACGAGGAACAUGGGGAAUCGACACCCAUCUUCAGCUCACUUUUAUCAAUUUUUGGUUUGUUGCAAGCGACCCCGAUUCGUUCCAUGUGUCUUCUUUGCAGUUCACUGUUUUGCUUUUUUUUAGGCGACCCCGAUUCAUUCAACGCUAGCUGUCUGGUCGGAGCUCCUCCACCAUUCACCUCCUCCUCUGCAUCCCCUGUAGUUCGCUCCGGUGGUUAAUGAUGAUGCAUUGGCAGCGGGCAGAUGCAGUGCGGCAGGGCAGCGCAUGUAGUGAGGUAGCGCCGCACAUGCAGUGCGGUGCUCACGGCCAUGCGUGGCCGCUACGGUUGGCCGCGCGAGCCACUCCCCGGGACUUGGUUGCUUUCUUUAUUUUUUGGUUGAGGGGAGUUCCACAAAAUUUAGUUUGCGGCAGCAUGGUUCGGCACACAGUGCAGUUCGGUGGCGCGGGCGGCGUUUUUGUCUUUUAUUUGUAUAGAAAAAUGUUUCAUCUCUCUCGUCAGGCACAAGUAGCAUAUUUUAUUUUGAAUAUGCAGUUCAGGGACAUGGCCUCUCCUGGUCUCCACCGACCUCCCAGGUUGCCAUUGGCCAUUUUGGCGACUUUGCAGGUGUAGUAUGCCCCUGAGGUGUGAUGUAGUGCAG
rnacentral:rRNA from 1 species